rnacentral:rRNA from 1 species
UCGAACGAUGAAACCGCCCUCGGGCGGACAUGAAGUGGCGAACGGGUGAGUAACACGUGACCAACCUGCCCCUUGCUCCGGGACAACCUUGGGAAACCGAGGCUAAUACCGGAUACUCCUCGCCCCCCUCCUGGGGGGCUCGGGAAAGCCCAGACGGCAAGGGAUGGGGUCGCGGCCCAUUAGGUAGUAGGCGGGGUAACGGCCCACCUAGCCCGCGAUGGGUAGCCGGGUUGAGAGACCGACCGGCCACAUUGGGACUGAGAUACGGCCCAGACUCCUACGGGAGGCAGCAUG